rnacentral:rRNA from 1 species
UGCAGUCGAGCGGACAGAUGGGAGCUUGCUCCCUGAUGUUAGCGGCGGACGGGUGAGUAACACGUGGGUAACCUGCCUGUAAGACUGGGAUAACUCCGGGAAACCGGGGCUAAUACCGGAUGCUUGUUUGAACCGCAUGGUUCAAACAUAAAAGGUGGCUUCGGCUACCACUUACAGAUGGACCCGCGGCGCAUUAGCUAGUUGGUGAGGUAACGGCUCACCAAGGCAACGAUGCGUAGCCGACCUGAGAGGGUGAUCGGCCACACUGGGACUGAGACACGGCCCAGACUCCUACGGGAGGCAGCAGUAGGGAAUCUUCCGCAAUGGACGAAAGUCUGACGGAGCAACGCCGCGUGAGUGAUGAAGGUUUUCGGAUCGUAAAGCUCUGUUGUUAGGGAAGAACAAGUACCGUUCGAAUAGGGCGGUACCUUGACGGUACCUAACCAGAAAGCCACGGCUAACUACGUGCCAGCAGCCGCGGUAAUACGUAGGUGGCAAGCGUUGUCCGGAAUUAUUGGGCGUAAAGGGCUCGCAGGCGGUUCCUUAAGUCUGAUGUGAAAGCCCCCGGCUCAACCGGGGAGGGUCAUUGGAAACUGGGGAACUUGAGUGCAGAAGAGGAGAGUGGAAUUCCACGUGUAGCGGUGAAAUGCGUAGAGAUGUGGAGGAACACCAGUGGCGAAGGCGACUCUCUGGUCUGUAACUGACGCUGAGGAGCGAAAGCGUGGGGAGCGAACAGGAUUAGAUACCCUGGUAGUCCACGCCGUAAACGAUGAGUGCUAAGUGUUAGGGGGUUUCCGCCCCUUAGUGCUGCAGCUAACGCAUUAAGCACU